rnacentral:rRNA from 1 species
GACAGAGGGUGCAAACGUUGUUCGGAAUUACUGGGCGUAAAGCGCGUGUAGGCAGCCUCGCAAGUCGAACGUGAAAUCCCCGGGCUCAACCCGGGAACUGCGUCCGAUACUGGGAGGCUUGAAUCCGGGAGAGGGAUGUGGAAUUCCAGGUGUAGCGGUGAAAUGCGUAGAUAUCUGGAGGAACACCGGUGGCGAAGGCGGCAUCCUGGACCGGUAUUGACGCUGAGGCGCGAAAGCUAGGGGAGCAAACGGG